rnacentral:rRNA from 1 species
UACGUAGGGGGCUAGCGUUGUCCGGAAUCAUUGGGCGUAAAGAGCGUGUAGGCGGCCCGAUUAGUCCGCUGUGAAAGUCCAGGGCUCAACCCUGGAAUGCCGGUGGAUACUGUCGGGCUAGAGUCCGGAAGAGGAGAGUGGAAUUCCCGGUGUAGCGGUGAAAUGCGCAGAUAUCGGGAAGAACACCCGUGGCGAAGGCGGCUCUCUGGGACGGUACUGACGCUGAGACGCGAAAGCGUGGGGAGCGAACAGG